CCUACGGGGGACAGCAGUGGGGAAUAUUGGGCAAUGGGCGCAAGCCUGACCCAGCAACGCCGCGUGAGUGAAGAAGUAUUUCGGUAUGUAAAGCUCUGUCAGCAGGGAAGAAAGAAAUGACGGUACCUGACCAAGAAGCCCCGGCUAACUACGUGCCAGCAACCGCGGUAAUACGUAGGGGGCAAGCGUUAUCCGGAAUUACUGGGUGUAAAGGGAGCGUAGACGGUUAAGUAAGUCUGGAGUGAAAGGCCGGGGCCCAACCCCGGGACUGCUCUGGAAACUAUUGAACUUGAGUGCAGGGGAGGUAAGCGGAAUUCGUAGUGUAGCGGUGAAAUGCGUAGAUAUUAGGAGGAACACCAGUGGCGAAGGCGGCUUACUGGACUGUAACUGACGUUGAGGCUCGAAAGCGUGGGGAGCAAACAGGAUUAGAUACCCCAGUAGUC
rnacentral:rRNA from 1 species